UCCCCUAGUACGGCGAGUGAAGCGGGAACAGCUCAGAUUUGUAAUCUGGCCGUCUUUGGCGGUCCGAGUUGUAAUCUGUAGAAGCGUAUUCCGCGUCGGCCCCUGCCCAAGUCCGUUGGAAUUCGGCGCCAUGGAGGGUGAGAGCCCCGUUGGUGGCAGGGAGAACCGGUGCUUUGCGUUGCGUUUUCUAAGAGUCGUGUUGUUUGGGAAUGCAGCACUAAUGGGUGGUAAAUUCCAUCUAAAGCUAAAUAUCAGCGAGAGACCGAUAGCGAACAAGUACCGUGAGGGAAAGAUGAAAAGCACUUUGGAAAGAGAGUUAAACAGUACGUGAAAUUGUUGAAAGGGAAACGAUUGAAAUCAGUCAUGCCUCUGGGGAUUCAGCCUUCGGGUGUACUUUUCCUUUGGCAGGUCAGCGUCGGUUUCGAGGGCCGGAUAAUGGGUCGGGGAAUGUGGCUCGGCUUCGGUCGGGUGUUAUAGCCCCUUCCUGGAUACGGCUUUUGGGAUCGAGGACCGCGGCGCGCCCUCACGGGCAGGGGGUCCGCCCCUUUCCGCGCCAAGGAUGCUGGCGUAAUGGUUUUAAACGACCCGUCUUGAAACACGGACCAAGGAGUCUAACAUGCCUGCGAGUGUUUUGGGUGUCAAACCCGGGACGCGCAACGAAAGUGAAUGGAGGGUGGGAUCCGAAA
rnacentral:rRNA from 1 species